rnacentral:rRNA from 1 species
UAGCGGCGGACGGGUGAGUAAUGCUUAGGAAUCUGCCUAUUAGUGGGGGACAACAUCUCGAAAGGGAUGCUAAUACCGCAUACGUCCUACGGGAGAAAGCAGGGGACCUUCGGGCCUUGCGCUAAUAGAUGAGCCUAAGUCGGAUUAGCUAGUUGGUGGGGUAAAGGCCUACCAAGGCGACGAUCUGUAGCGGGUCUGAGAGGAUGAUCCGCCACACUGGGACUGAGACACGGCCCAGACUCCUACGGGAGGCAGCAGUGGGGAAUAUUGGACAAUGGGGGGAACCCUGAUCCAGCCAUGCCGCGUGUGUGAAGAAGGCCUUUUGGUUGUAAAGCACUUUAAGCGAGGAGGAGGCUACCGAGAUUAAUACUCUUGGAUAGUGGACGUUACUCGCAGAAUAAGCACCGGCUAACUCUGUGCCAGCAGCCGCGGUAAUACAGAGGGUGCAAGCGUUAAUCGGAUUUACUGGGCGUAAAGCGCGCGUAGGUGGCCAAUUAAGUCAAAUGUGAAAUCCCCGAGCUUAACUUGGGAAUUGCAUUCGAUACUGGUUGGCUAGAGUAUGGGAGAGGAUGGUAGAAUUCCAGGUGUAGCGGUGAAAUGCGUAGAGAUCUGGAGGAAUACCGA